UGUUUAAUAGACCACAGAAUUAUUUUUCCGUGUGACUGUUGUUUAUUUUGUUGCAGAAAAAUGGGUGGUUUGGUGGAACCAGAAUGUUCUGGUUCUGGUGUGUUUUCUACAAGUUUAAUUUAUUUUUGUGCUGAAGAUCAUGGCUUUGGAGGCGGAAAAAGUCUCAGAAAAAGUGAGUGCAGAACACCAUUAGCUCAAACAUAAUUUAAUUUGAACGUGAUAUUGGUCAAUAUCGGAUUCUCCUAGAUGCGGCCGAGGAUGCGGCUUCCUGGAUGCCCAAGGAAAAAACAUAUGGACAUAAGCUGAUUCAACUUUCCAUUUCCCAUAUUUGUUUUAACGGAAAAACGAAAAAAAAAAAUUGUACAAAUAAAUCAAAAUGUAACAAACAUUUGUUUCAUUUAUUUGUGGGGGAAAUCGCUAGCUUAUUUCUUUCUAGUAAAAGAUAAGGGGUACGGUGUGCCGUUUUUUCUCAUAUAAUUCUACUGUUCUUAUACCACAUUCCAUAUUGUUCUCACCUAAAACACGGAUUAUAACUGGACCAUACCACAUUGUGUGUUAUGAAAAAAAUGUACUGAAAAAUGCCCUUUUUUAAAUGGUAAUUAUACUUAACCGCCCAUUACCCGUAUGGUCGAUUUUCCGAUAACAACAUACCAUACUGUGGAUAUCAUUUAUGGUGAGGUUAGUGUAUCUUUCGUAUUAAAAGCAAUCAUAAUAGUAGGGGUAAUGUU